rnacentral:rRNA from 1 species
GGGGAAUUUUGGACAAUGGGCGCAAGCCUGAUCCAGCAAUGCCGCGUGCAGGAAGAAGGCCUUCGGGUUGUAAACUGCUUUUGUCAGGGAAGAAAUCUUCUGGGUUAAUACCUCGGGAGGAUGACGGUACCUGAAGAAUAAGCACCGGCUAACUACGUGCCAGCAGCCGCGGUAAUACGUAGGGUGCGAGCGUUAAUCGGAAUUACUGGGCGUAAAGCGUGCGCAGGCGGCUUUGCAAGACAGAGGUGAAAUCCCCGGGCUCAACCUGGGAACUGCCUUUGUGACUGCAAGGCUAGAGUACGGCAGAGGGGGAUGGAAUUCCGCGUGUAGCAGUGAAAUGCGUAGAGAUCUGGUGGAAUACCGGUGGCGAAGGCGGCCCCCUGUACGAAGACUGACGCUCAGGCACGAAAGCGUGGGGAGCAAACA